rnacentral:rRNA from 1 species
CUUAGAGUAAUGUCUAAGUAUCAUUAAGUGAAUACAUAGCUUAAUGAGGGGAACUCAGGGAACUGAAACAUCUAAGUACCUGAAGGAAGAGAAAGAAAUUCGAUUCCGUAAGUAGCGGCGAGCGAACACGGAUUAGCCCAAACCAAUAAAGUUUUCUUUAUUGGGGUUGCGGACAUAUCAUAACGAAGAGGUAUCGUAAUUGAAGAGGUUUGGAAAGACCCACCACAGAAGGUAAUAGUCCUGUAUGUUAAACGAGAAGACUUCAGAUAUGAUCCAGAGUACCACGGGACACGUGAAACCCUGUGGGAAGCAGGAGGGACCACCCUCCAAGGCUAAAUACUACCUAGUGACCGAUAGCGUAUAGUACCGUGAGGGAAAGGUGAAAAGAACCCCGGGAGGGGAGUGAAAUAGAACCUGAAACCCUGCACUUACAAGCUGUGGAAGCACAUUUCUUGUGUGACCGCGUACUUUUUGUAGAACGGGCCAACGAGUUACGUUAAGUAGCAAGGUUAAGCACUUAAGGUG